rnacentral:rRNA from 1 species
UACGUAGGGCGCAAGCGUUGUCCGGAAUUAUUGGGCGUAAAGAGCUCGUAGGCGGUCAGUCGCGUCUGCUGUGAAAACUCGAGGCUCAACCUCGGGCUUGCAGUGGGUACGGGCUGACUAGAGUGCGGUAGGGGUGACUGGAAUUCCUGGUGUAGCGGUGGAAUGCGCAGAUAUCAGGAGGAACACCGAUGGCGAAGGCAGGUCACUGGGCCGGCAACUGACGCUGAGGAGCGAAAGCAUGGGGAGCGAACAGG